UACGUAGGGGGCAAGCGUUGUCCGGAAUCAUUGGGCGUAAAGAGCGUGUAGGCGGCCCGGUAAGUCCGCCGUGAAAGUCCAGGGCUCAACCCUCGGAUGCCGAUCGAUACUGUCGGGCUAGAGUCCGGAAGAGGCGAGUGGAAUUCCUGGUGUAGCGGUGAAAUGCGCAGAUAUCAGGAGGAACACCAAUGGCGAAGGCAGCUCGCUGGGACGGUACUGACGCUGAGGCGCGAAAGCGUGGGGAGCAAACAGG
rnacentral:rRNA from 1 species